AACUAAACUCUAGCCCAACCUACAUACUCCCCUAAACAAAACCACCUCUCCACAAAAACAAAACAUUUUACAUACUUAGUAUAGGCGAUAGAAAAGGAACCCCGGCGCAAUAGAGAAAAGUACCGCAAGGGAAAGAUGAAAUAACAAUGAAACCACUAGCACAAAACAGCAAAGAUAAACCCUUGUACCUCCUGCAUCAUGGUUCAGUGAGAAAAACCAAGCAAAAUGAACUUAAGCUUGCCUCCCCGAAACCCAAGCGAGCUACUCACAAGCAGCUAUAUAUAUGAGCUAACCCGUCUCUGUAGCAAAAGAGUGGGAUGACUUGUUAGUAGAGGUGAAAAGCCUACCGAGCUGGGUGAUAGCUGGUUGCCUGUGAAAUGAAUUUAAGUUCCCCCCUGACCACUCCCCUCACGAAAUCAAUCAUAACAACCACUGUAGUCACUCAGGAGCAACUUAAGGGGGGUACAGCCCCCUUAAAAAAGGACACAACCUCCACAAGCGGAUAAUUACAACCCCACCACCCAUCACAACUGUUGGCCCUAAAGCAGCCACCAACAAAGAGUGCGUCACAGCUCUAACCGUAAAAAUACUAAAACAGCAUGAAUCCCUAAACCCAUAACAGGCCAACCUAUAGCAAUAGGCGCAUUAAUACUGAAAUGAGUAACUAGAAAGAGGGAGGCCCCCCCCCCUUCUCCAAGGCGCAAGCUUACAUCCAUAAUAUUAUUAGACAGAGUAUAUAUCAAAAUUAAAACAAGACUUCAUAUUCUUUUCUUCUACUGUUAACCCCACUCAGGAGCGCCUAAUUAAGGAAAGAUUUAAAUUUGCAAAAGGAACUCGGCAAACUAAGGACUCGACUGUUUACCAAAAACAUAGCCUUCAGCCCACCAAGUAUUGAAGGUGAUGCCUGCCCAGUGACCAAUAUCGUUUAACGGCCGCGGUAUCCUAACCGUGCGAAGGUAGCGCAAUCAAUUGUCCCAUAAAUCGAGACUUGUAUGAACGGCUAAACGAAGUCCUAACUGUCUCUUGCAAAUAAUCAGUGAAAUUGAUCUCCCCGUGCAAAAGCGAGGAUAAACUCAUAAGACGAGAAGACCCUGUGGAACUUUAAAAUCCAUAACCACAGCUAACCAAACCUAUCUGGCCUACCAGGCCCACUACUAACUACUGCUGCUGGCCUAUAUUUUUCGGCUGGGGCGGCCCUGGAGAAAAACAAAUCCUCCAGAAAUAGGAAAUACCCUCCUAACCAAGAGCAACCUCUCAACGUACAAAUAGUACCCAGACCCAGUAUAACUGAUCAAUGAACCAAGCUACCCCAGGGAUAACAGCGCAAUCCCCUCCAAGAGCCCAUAUCGACAAGGGGGUUUACGACCUCGAUGUUGGAUCAGGACAUCCUAAUGGUGCAACCGCUAUUAAGGGUUCGUUUGUUCAACGAUUAAUAGUCCUACGUGAUCUGAGUUCAGACCGGAGUAAUCCAGGUCGGUUUCUAUCUAUGCCAGAUUCUUCCUAGUACGAAAGGACCGGAAAAAUAAGGCCCAUGCCACAAGCACGCCUUCCCCUCAAAUAAAGAAUACAACCAAGCUAUCAAGUGGGCUGACAAUACCAAUCCAAGACAAGGAUGCUAGU
rnacentral:rRNA from 1 species